GAUGAACGCUGGCGGCGUGCCUAAUACAUGCAAGUCGAGCGAACAGACGAGGAUCUUUCUUCUCUUACGUGAGCGGCGGGCGGGUGAGUAACAGGUAGAUAACUUACCUAUAAGACUGGGAUAACUUCGGGAGACCGGAUCUCACACCGGAUCAGAUAUUGAACCGCAUGGUUCAUUAGUGAAAGACGGUUUUGCUGUCACUUAUAGAUGGUUCCGCGUCGCAUUAGCUAGUUGGUAAGGUAACGGCUUACCAAGGCGACGAUGCGUAGCUGACCUGAGAGGGUGAUCAGCCACACUGGAACUGAGACACGGUCCAGACUCCUACGGGAGGCAGCAGUAGGGAAUCUUCCGCAAUGGGCGAAAGCCUGAUGGAGCCACGCCGCGUGAGUGAAGAAGGUCUUCGGAUUGUAAAACUCUGUUAGUAGGGAAGAACAAAAGUGUAAGUAACUAUGCACGUCUUGACGGUACCAAAUGAGAAAGCCACGGCUAACUACGUG
rnacentral:rRNA from 1 species